GUGCAGCCGCCGCGGUAAUACGGAGGGUGCAAGCGUUGUCCGGAAUCACUGGGUGUAAAGGGUGUGCAGGCGGGGCAGCAAGUCGGAGGUGACAGUCCAUGGCUUAACCAUGGAAGUGCCUUCGAAACUGUUGCUCUUGAGUCUCGGAGGGGCUGUCGGAAUUCGUGGUGUAGCGGUGAGAUGCGUAGAUAUCACGAGGAACACCAGAGGCGAAAGCGGACAGCUGGACGGGUACUGACGCUCAGGCACGAAAGCGUGGGGAGCAAACAGGAUUAGAAACCCGAGUAGUCC
rnacentral:rRNA from 1 species